rnacentral:rRNA from 1 species
UAUACAUGCAAGUCGAGCGGACAGAAGGGAGCUUGCUCCCGGAUGUUAGCGGCGGACGGGUGAGUAACACGUGGGUAACCUGCCUGUAAGACUGGGAUAACUCCGGGAAACCGGAGCUAAUACCGGAUAGUUCCUUGAACCGCAUGGUUCAAGGAUGAAAGACGGUUUCGGCUGUCACUUACAGAUGGACCCGCGGCGCAUUAGCUAGUUGGUGGGGUAAUGGCUCACCAAGGCGACGAUGCGUAGCCGACCUGAGAGGGUGAUCGGCCACACUGGGACUGAGACACGGCCCAGACUCCUACGGGAGGCAGCAGUAGGGAAUCUUCCGCAAUGGACGAAAGUCUGACGGAGCAACGCCGCGUGAGUGAUGAAGGUUUUCGGAUCGUAAAGCUCUGUUGUUAGGGAAGAACAAGUGCGAGAGUAACUGCUCGCACCUUGACGGUACCUAACCAGAAAGCCACGGCUAACUACGUGCCAGCAGCCGCGGUAAUACGUAGGUGGCAAGCGUUGUCCGGAAUUAUUGGGCGUAAAGGGCUCGCAGGCGGUUUCUUAAGUCUGAUGUGAAAGCCCCCGGCUCAACCGGGGAGGGUCAUUGGAAACUGGGAAACUUGAGUGCAGAAGAGGAGAGUGGAAUUCCACGUGUAGCGGUGAAAUGCGUAGAGAUGUGGAGGAACACCAGUGGCGAAGGCGACUCUCUGGUCUGUAACUGACGCUGAGGAGCGAAAGCGUGGGGAGCGAA